UACGAAGGACCCGAGCGUUAUCCGGAUUUAUUGGGUUUAAAGGGCGCGUAGGCGGGUUCUCAAGUCCGGGGUGAAAUCCCACAGCUCAACUGUGGAACUGCCUCGGAUACUGGGGGCCUCGAGGGUGGUAGGGGUAUGCGGAACUAUCGGUGGAGCGGUGAAAUGCGUUGAUAUCGAUAGGAACUCCGGUGGCUAAGGCGGCAUACUGGACCACAUCUGACGCUGAGGCGCGAAAGCCAGGGGAGCAAACGGG
rnacentral:rRNA from 1 species